GGUUGACCUCGGAUCAGGUAGGAAUACCCGCUGAACUUAAGCAUCAAUA
rnacentral:rRNA from 1 species